rnacentral:lncRNA from 1 species
AAUUAUAAUUUUGAUAAAUUGAAAGUAAAAUCGAAUAGUUUGGGUAAUAUGAACAGAUUUAAAAAAAAAAAACAUAAAAAAAACACUUUUAUCAAAAGAAAUUAUUUUUAUUUACAAAAUUAUCAAGUCACUUCUUAUUUAGCACCAUUUUUUGAAAAAUCAAAUCUGUUUGGUGUCAACUUGUACAUUAAGGAGUUCCAUACUCUUAAGAUGCAAAAAGUUAAGUUUAUAUAUAAUAAGAUAUUGAAUUGACAUUUGAAAUAGAACAAUAGUGUGGCAUUUUGAAAAGUCAAUACGUUUGGUCUAAACUACUUUAUAUGGAUAUUGGUGCAGUGUUUAUGAAUUCCUAAUGUAUCUAUUAUGUGUAUCAAAUGGCUUUUAAUUUGAUUUCUGGCAAGUUUUUAUUGUUCAUGUUUUCUGCCCAGGUUUAGUAAUGGAUAAGUAUUUUAUGCCCCACCUACGAUAGUAGAAGGGCAUUAUGUUUUCUGGUCUGUACGUUUGUCUGUCUGUUCAUUCGUCGUCCAUUCGUCCCACUUCAGGUUAAAGUUUUUGGUCAAGGUAGUUUUUGAUGAAGCUGAAGUCCAAUCAACUUGAAACU